GCGGAUGUAGUUUAGUGGUAAAAUAUGGCCUUCCCAAGGCUAGGUUGUGGGUUCGAUUCCCAUCAUCCGCUCCA
rnacentral:tRNA from 1 species